CCCUUAGAUGUUCUGGGCCGCACGCGCGCUACACUGAUGCAUUCAACGAGUCUAAAACCUGCUCUGAUAGGGGUGGGUAAUCUUUUGAAUGUGCAUCGUGAUUGGGAUAGAUGAUUGCAAUUUUUCAUCUUCAACGAGGAAUGCCUAGUAAGCGCAAGUCAUCAGCUUGCAUUGAUUACGUCCCUGCCCUUUGUACACACCGCCCGUCGCUCCUACCGAUUGAAUGAUCCGAUGAAUAUCAUGGAUUGAGGAUGCAAGUAGGUUAGCCUAUCUUCAUCUUCGAGAAGUGAAGUAAAUCUUAUCAUUUAGAGGAAGGAGAAGUCGUAACA
rnacentral:rRNA from 1 species